rnacentral:rRNA from 1 species
GGUCCUACGGGGCGCAGCAGUGGGGGAUAUUGCACAAUGGGGGAAACCCUGAUGCAGCGACGCCGCGUGGGUGAAGAAGCGCCUCGGCGCGUAAAGCCCUGUCAGCAGGGAAGAGUAGAAGACGGUACCUCUUGAAUAAGCCACGGCUAACUACGUGCCAGCAGCCGCGGUAAUACGUAGGUGGCAAGCGUUGUCCGGAUUUACUGGGUGUAAAGGGCGUGUAGCCGGGCCGGCAAGUCAGAUGUGAAAUCCCAAGGCUCAACCUUGGAACUGCAUUUGAAACUGUUGGUCUUGAGUAUCGGAGG